UACGAACCGUCCAAACGUUAUUCGGAAUCACUGGGCUUACAGAGUUCGUAGGCGGCGGAGAAAGUAGGGUGUGAAAGCCCUCGCUUAACCGAGGAAUUGCGCCCUAAACUACUUCGCUUGAGGAGGCUAGAGGUGAGCAGAACAGAUGGUGGAGCGGUGAAAUGCGUUGAUAUCAUCUGGAAUACCGGAGGCGAAGGCGGCUCACUGGGACCUUUCUGACGCUGAGGAACGAAAGCUAGGGUAGCGAACGGG
rnacentral:rRNA from 1 species